rnacentral:rRNA from 1 species
UGGCUCAUUAUAUAAGUUAUCGUUUAUUUGAUAGUACCUUACUACUUGGAUAACCGUGGUAAUUCUAGAGCUAAUACAUGCUAAAAAUCCCGAAUUAAGUAGGGAUGUAUUUAUUAGAUUAAAAACCAAUGCCCUUUGGGCUCUCUGGUGAUUCAUGAUAACUUCUCGAAUCGCAUGGCCUUGCGCCGGCGAUGGUUCAUUCAAAUUUCUUCCCUAUCAACUUUCGAUGUUUGGGUAGUGGCCAAACAUGGUUGCAACGGGUAACGGAGGGUUAGGGCUCGACCCCGGAGAAGGAGCCUGAGAAACGGCUACUACAUCCAAGGAAGGCAGCAGGCGCGCAAAUUACCCAAUCCCGACACGGGGAGGUAGUGACAAUAAAUACUGAUACAGGGCUCUUUUGGGUCUUGUAAUUGGAAUGAGUACAAUUUAAAUCCCUUAACGAGGAACAAUUGGAGGGCAAGUCUGGUGCCAGCAGCCGCGGUAAUUCCAGCUCCAAUAGCGUAUAUUAAAGUUGUUGUGGUUAAAAAGCUCGUAGUUGAACCUUGGGCCUGGCUGGCCGGUCCGCCUCACCGCGUGUACUGGUCCGGCCGGGCCUUUCCCUCUGUGGAACCCCAUGCCCUUCACUGGGUGUGGCGGGGAAACAGGACUUUUACUUUGAAAAAAUUAGAGUGCUCCAGGCAGGCCUAUGCUCGAAUACAUUAGCAUGGAAUAAUGAAAUAGGACGUGCGGUUCUAUUUUGUUGGUUUCUAGGACCGCCGUAAUGAUUAAUAGGGACAGUCGGGGGCAUCAGUAUUCAAUUGUCAGAGGUGAAAUUCUUGGAUUUAUUGAAGACUAACUACUGCGAAAGCAUUUGCCAAGGAUGUUUUCAUUAAUCAGGAACGAAAGUUAGGGGAUCGAAGACGAUCAGAUACCGUCGUAGUCUUAACCAUAAACUAUGCCGACUAGGGAUCGGACGAUGUUAUUUUUUGACUCG